rnacentral:tRNA from 1 species
GUGUGCGUAAUUUAAAAAAAAUAUCAAACUGUGACCCUGACAAUAGGACACACUCCUNGCAUACCA